CAGACCGUUCCGUUGCCGUUAGCGAUAAAAUGUACUGACGGAUACGUCGCGAAUGAUAUCACGGGAACGUUUAACGUCAAUAUUGUCGACGAGCCCCCAGUGAUAACCUUACUACCCUCUACCGGAACUUCCAUCAACGAUGGUUUGCAGGCGGCCGCGGCGACCAUCCAUACGUUCAACGUCACCGACAGCGACGACGUUGUCACGUGCUCCACACGAGCGCCGGAAUCCACCUUUUUUGAAUUGGUAGCCGCAACUAGCCCUGCGUUCAGUAUCCGCGUGAAAGCAGGAGUGACGUUGGCUGCAGCUGUCAGUCCGUACGCCAUGAACGUUGAUUGCACAGAUGCCGUAACCGCCGUCAGUUCAACGUUCACCCAGCCAGUCCUUGAUAAG